AACAUUAGAAUUUCCCACCACAUUGCCUUUCGAAUUCGCCCCCUUUGCCUCUACAAACCUCCAAAUAUACCACGAAGCUACCGACCUAUAAGGCUUCCAUUUCUCACACAACUGAUCCAUUUGUGAUGGCCUAGGAAGAUCCUCAAGACCAUAUAACAUUCUCACCCCUUUCCUAAUACCAAGAUCAUGUAUCGGCAACACAUCCGGCCUAUGAAGUGAAAAAAUCAUAAACAUAUGAACUGACCAAGACCCAAUUCCAUUCACCAUAGUAAGCAUUGUAAAAAGCGAUUUAUCAUCCAUAUCCACAAUCGACUUAUCCGACAAAAUCCCAUUUUGAUACUUCCUUGCUAG
rnacentral:misc_RNA from 1 species